UACGUAGGUGGCAAGCGUUGUCCGGAUUUACUGGGCGUAAAGAGCGCGCAGGCGGUCCUUCAAGUCGCGUGUGAAAGCCCCCGGCUCAACUGGGGAGGGUCACGCGAUACUGAUCGACUCGAAGGCAGGAGAGGGUAGUGGAAUUCCCGGUGUAGUGGUGAAAUGCGUAGAUAUCGGGAGGAACACCAGUGGCGAAGGCGACUACCUGGCCUGUACUUGACGCUGAGGCGCGAAAGCUAGGGGAGCAAACGGG
rnacentral:rRNA from 1 species